rnacentral:rRNA from 1 species
GGGAGGCAGCAGUGGGGAAUAUUGGACAAUGGGGGAAACCCUGAUCCAGCCAUGCCGCGUGGGUGAUGAAGGCCUUCGGGUUGUAAAGCCCUUUUGGCGGGGACGAUAAUGACGGUACCCGCAGAAUAAGCCCCGGCUAACUUCGUGCCAGCAGCCGCGGUAAUACGAAGGGGGCUAGCGUUGUUCGGAAUUACUGGGCGUAAAGCGCGCGUAGGCGGUUUUCCAAGUCGGGCGUGAAAGCCCCGGGCUCAACCCGGGAAAUGCGCUCGAAACUUGAAGACUGGAGGCCGGAAGAGGGUAGUGGAAUUCCCAGUGUAGAGGUGAAAUUCGUAGAUAUUGGGAAGAACACCAGUGGCGAAGGCGGCUACCUGGUCCGGUUCUGACGCUGAGGCGCGAAAGCGUGGGGAGCAAACAGGAUUAGAUACCCGUGUAGUCCG